ensembl:lncRNA
GUAAGAGAAUUGCCACAUGCAAAUGAAUUAAGUAGCAACUAGGCGUUGAACAAUGAUCUCAGUAAAAGUUUUGGAAGCCUUUGUACAUCAGACGAAAGAUGAGCUCAUGAAGGGAAGAAUCUGGGUUACACGGGGUCUGCUUACUUGGGAAUUCCUUGGGUACUGCAGACCUGUGCUAUCUCCCACUGACUUUAGCUGUGGUCAUGGAAAAUAACCAAAUGUUUGUGGGUCCAUAUUGCCUCAGUGUCCUGCUUAAAGCAUGGGGAGAAAAAAACAGAUCAAGCAGCCUGGAGGAAGGGAGAAGGUCAACAAAUUAAAUCACCCCUAGGACUUCGAAAGCUGGGUCAACAAAGCCCUGAAACUCCAAGUUUCUGAACUUGUAUGUUUGCCAUCCACAAUAUAAAGAGAUGUUUUGGGUUUUUUUGAGGAAGAUUAGCCCUGAGCUAACACCUGCUGCCAAUCCUCCUCCUUUUGCUGAGGAAGACUGGCCCUGAGCUAACAUCUGUGCCCACCUUCCUCUACUUUAUAUGUGGGACACCUACCACAGCAUGGCUUGACAAGCGGUGCCAUGUCCGCACCCAGGAUCUGAACCAGCUAACCCUGGGCCACCGAAGUGGAACGUGCGCAUUUAACCGCUGAGUCACUGGGCCAGCCCCUAAAGAGAUUUUUCUCUUUUAAUUUCCAACAUCUGUGGCUUUCUAUUAGUUCAAGCUUCUGCAGGGAGCAUGCGUUCAUUAAAUGGUAAAUAUGAACCUAAAUACAGAAACACAAAUGCUUAAACCAUUAGGAGGCACCUUCUUAACAGUGAUGAAUGAGGCAGAAAAAAGGGAGGAGGUUCCACUUUGGGGCUGCAUGAUACACUUUUGCUUUGAACAAUCUCAGGCAUCUCCAGCAAUGACUUGGGAGGAAAAGUCUGACUUCAUCAUCACACGUUCAUUGAGUUAAAGUUUCCAGCCACUAUGCUACCUGCUUAGGCUCAAGAAGAUAAAAGAGAAAUGUUUCUGGGAGAUGGGGAAGGCGGGUGGGGGAGAUCAACAUGGAGACAACUGAUUAUAACACAAUGUCAUGACAAGUGGGCCCUGAGGCCAGCUCUGGGUCAUAUGCUGUCUUCUGCUGAUAUUUCUACUGCUUUCACCUGGAUAUGCAGCAGAUAGAGAGUUGCAAGGGCAGUUGCCAUGCCUAAGGCUAAUUUUACUGCUAGAAAAAGAUCCAUCAGAAGAGAUCUCUGAGAAGAUGCAUAAAGAAAUUUUCCAGUUGGCCAUUAUCUGCCUGUGGGUCCAGAGUUUGACCAUCCUUUCCAAAGUGAGGUGAGGAAACUGAGGCACAGAGAAGUGGAGUAACUCACCCAACCUCAUAGAGCACAGGUUGCCAGGCUGGUAGAAUGUCAGUCUAGAGCUGCUGGAAGCCACUAUGUGAAGAGAGUGUGCUGAGAAUGAUGUGGAAGGUCGACCAAGAGAAGAAGAGACUUUGAAAGCUGAUGACUGGCCCUGAGCUAACAUCCAUGCCCAUCUUCCUCUACUUUAUACAUGGGACGCCUACCACAGCAUGGCUUUUGCCAAACAGUGCCAUGUCCGCACCCGGGAUCCGAACCCAUGAUCCGCUGGCCGCUGAGAAGCAGAACAUGCGCACUUAACCGCUGCGCCACCUGGCGGGUCCAUCUAAAGUGUUAUAAACUGCUUAGCCUCAUUCUCAGCCUGGCACAACUACAAGUUCCAUGGACUUUGUUUCUCUUUUCAUCCAUAUUUUAACCUGAAUCUGUUCAAAUGUUGAUAAUUUGGUAGGCCAUUAAUACUUAAAUAUUUAUAGAAUAGAGAUACAGUGUUGAACAAGACAGAUACAGUGUCUUCUCUUACAGCAAUUACAGUGUGGGGUGGGCUUAUGGUCCUUUAAGUGUUUUAAAGCAUAUUUGUCCAUUUCCUCUGCAGAAAUUUGUCUUCACACACACACUACUUUUUUCGUUUUUUAUUUAUAAUUCAUUCUCAUCCACUUAUUCCAACUAUGCUGGUUUGCAAAUGCUUUAAUGAAUUGUUACAUUUGCCUCUAGCUCUAAAUGAAUUGUCUAAAAGCAAAUUAGUGUAAGAAUUAAUAUUUACAAUACCCAGUUCAUGUUUUUAUAAUUUCUGUGCAACCUAGGAUAAUUGCACAAAUUUUAAACAUACCUCUAAAAGUAAUUUUGUCUACCUUUUCAUUUGCCUUUUCAUCUUUUUAAUUUUCAAUUAUCCCUUUUCACAUAAUUUACUUAACAUGAUUUGCUGUCUUUGCAUAGACAUUUAUUUUAUAUGUAAAGCUUUCUCGGCCGUAUUUGACAUUCUGUGGCCAGCGUUCAUCCAGUGUUUGCUGUCAGGAUUGAAGCUCUAAUACAAAGCAUGUGCAACCACAAUGUGAAUGCAAGGACAAGCUUAGGGUUUCUUGCACUGCUGGCUUGAAGGCAGAUCGAUCUGAUGUUUGCCUUGCAGCUGGACAGGAGACAGAAAUCUCUUCCUGGAUUUUAAGAAAGAUAGAAAAACUGUAUCUAUAACAUUGAUCCUCAUAGGAUUUUCAUGGGCUUUUGCCAUCAGUAUUCAAUGUAGCUAGUUGUUGUUUGAGUUCAAUGAAAAAUAAACCUCAAUUUUCUUUGGUGGAAGGCAACUUUUUGAGCUGACAGCUGAUACCUCUACACACAGCCCUCAAAGAAUUAGAAAUUUCAAAAAUAAAUAGAGUAGAAAUCACUCUCAUUCUGAAGAAUGAACAAAAAAUGCUUAAAGGCACAUAAAAGUUUGCAAAAACCAUCCCAUAAUGCUUGAAAAUGUUCAAUAAGUGAAAAAUCAAUCAUUGGGAAUAACUAUUUCCACAAUUUGCAUUCAACAAAAUGGUCUAGGACUGCAUAAUAAUAACAGCUAGCAUUUAUGAACUGCAACAAUAUUGCCCAUCCCACUUACACCUUUUAUGAUGUGCCUUUGAUGCUCCUCCCAUUGACAAAUGGGAAAUCUGUU